AUUGAACGCUGGCGGCAGUCCUAAAACAUGCAAGUCGAACGAGUGGCGGACGGGUGAGUAAUGUCUGAGAAACUUCCCGAUGGAGGGGGAUAACUACUGGAAACAGUAGCUAAUACCGCAUACCAUCGGAUGUGCCCAUAUGGGAUUAGCUAGUAGGUGGGGUAACGGCUCACCUAGGAGACGAUCCCUCGCUGGUCUGAGAGGAUGACCAGCCACAAUGGAACUGAGAAACGGUCCAGACUCCUACGGGAGGCAGCAGUGGGGAAUAUUGCACAAUAGGCGCAAGCCUGAUGCAGCCAGGCCGAGUGUAUGAAGAAGGCCUUCGGGUUGUAAAGUACUUUCAGCGAGGAGGAGUUACUCGCAGAAGAAGCACCGGCUAAAUCCGUGCCAGCAGCCGCGGUAAUUC
rnacentral:rRNA from 1 species